rnacentral:rRNA from 1 species
GUGAGGAAUAUUGGACAAUGGGUGAAAGCCUGAUCCAGCCAUCCCGCGUGAAGGAUGACGGUCCUAUGGAUUGUAAACUUCUUUUGUAUAGGGAUAAACCUAGAUACGUGUAUCUAGCUGAAGGUACUAUACGAAUAAGCACCGGCUAACUCCGUGCCAGCAGCCGCGGUAAUACGGAGGGUGCAAGCGUUAUCCGGAUUUAUUGGGUUUAAAGGGUCCGUAGGCGGGCCGAUAAGUCAGUGGUGAAAUCUCAUAGCUUAACUAUGAAACUGCCAUUGAUACUGUCGGUCUUGAGUAAAUUAGAGGUAGCUGGAAUAAGUAGUGUAGCGGUGAAAUGCAUAGAUAUUACUUAGAACACCAAUUGCGAAGGCAGGUUACCAUGAUUUAACUGACGCUGAGGGACGAAAGCGUGGGGAGCGAACAGG